rnacentral:rRNA from 1 species
CCUACGGGCGGCAGCAGUGGGGAAUAUUGGACAAUGGGCGAAAGCCUGAUCCAGCCAUGCCGCGUGUGUGAAGAAGGCCUUCGGGUUGUAAAGCACUUUCAGUGGGGAAGAAAGCCUUGGGGCUAAUACCCUCGAGGAAGGACAUCACCCACAGAAGAAGCACCGGCUAACUCCGUGCCAGCAGCCGCGGUAAUACGGAGGGUGCGAGCGUUAAUCGGAAUUACUGGGCGUAAAGCGCGCGUAGGUGGUCUGAUAAGCCGGUUGUGAAAGCCCCGGGCUCAACCUGGGAACGGCAUCCGGAACUGUCAGGCUAGAGUGCAGGAGAGGAAGGUAGAAUUCCCGGUGUAGCGGUGAAAUGCGUAGAGAUCGGGAGGAAUACCAGUGGCGAAGGCGGCCUUCUGGACUGACACUGACGCUGAGGUGCGAAAGCGUGGGUAGCAAACAGGAUUAGAUACCCGGGUAGUC